rnacentral:misc_RNA from 1 species
AAAAUAAUCCUACCCUUUGUGAAUUUUGUUUGUUUGAAUAAUUUUUUUUUUUAAAAAAUUAUUGGAGUCUUUCCCUUUAGAGUUUGCUUUUGAGUUUGUAAAAGAAUUCGAAAACAUCUAAAGGGGAUGGUCAAUAAUUUUUUUUGAAAAAAGACAUUUUUUAAAAUUAAACUUUUUGUAUUCAUUUGUCUAAAAAUUAUUUUUAUAAUAUAAAAACAACUUUUGACAAUGGAUCUCUUGGUUCUCGCAACGAUGAAGAACGCAGCAAAAUGCGAUAAGUAGUGUGAAUUGCAGAAUACGUGAAUCAUCGAAUCUUUGAACGCAUAUUGCACUUUUUUAGUUUACUAAAAAAGUAUGUCUGUUUGAGUAUCAGUAAAAUAUUCUCAUAAAAAUCAUUGUGUAUUUUUAUAGUUAUGAGUGUUUUACAACGAUACAAGUUGUUUCACUUUAAAUUUUUUUUUAAUAUUGAAAUUUUUCUAAUUUUAAUAAUUAAAAUUGGAUAAAAUUUUCCCGUCAAAAGGAAUAACCUAAACAAUAUUAAAUGAUUAAUUUUAGCAAAAUUUUCGUAAAAAAGGUAAAUUUUUAUUAAAAUAACUUGAUCUCAAAUCAGAUAGAGUACCCGCUGAACUUAAGCAUAUCAAUAAGCGGAGGAAAAGAAACUAACAAGGAUUCCCUUAGUAACGGCGAGUGAAGCGGGAAGAGCUCAAAUUUGAAAUCUUCAAGGUUUUACCUUGACGAAUUGUAGUUUAAAGAAGUGUUUUCUGCUGAAGUUUUGGUAAAAGUUCUUUGGAAUAGGACAUCAUAGAGGGUGAGAAUCCCGUAUUUGACCAUUAUUUUCAGCUUUGUGAUACACUUUCAAAGAGUCGGAUUGUUUGGGAAUGCAGUCCAAAAUGGGUGGUAAAUUUCAUCUAAAGCUAAAUAUUGGCGAGAGACCGAUAGCGAACAAGUACCGUGAGGGAAAGAUGAAAAGAACUUUGAAAAGAGAGUUAAACAGUACGUGAAAUUGUCAAAAGGGAAGCGUUUGACACCAGUGUUGUUUUCUCGAAAAUCAAUUAAAAAUGGCUCGAUUUUGUAUUGCUGAGACCUUAAAAGCUCACUGUACAUUUUUCGUGUCUUUUUUAAUGCACUUUUCGUUUAACAAGUCAACAUCAGUUUCUUUUGUUGUAAAAGGGUCAUUGGAAGGUGGCUUUCUUUUCGGAGAAAGUGUUUAUAGCCUUUGGCCUCUGCAAUCGAAGAGACUGAGGUCUGCAGCGUAGACUCUUCGGGGUUAGAUACAUUUGUGCUAAGUUAUAGCUUUUUAUAGACAACUUGUUGGCUAUAAUUAGUCUUGUAGCUUACUCGCUUAUGCUAUUUUACCUACGCUUAGGAUG